CUCGUAGGCGGUUCGUCGCGUCCGGUGUGAAAGUCCAUCGCUUAACGGUGGAUCCGCGCCGGGUACGGGCGGGCUUGAGUGCGGUAGGGGAGACUGGAAUUCCCGGUGUAACGGUGGAAUGUGUAGAUAUCGGGAAGAACACCAAUGGCAAAGGCAGGUCUCUGGGCCGUCACUGACGCUGAGGAGCGAAAGCGUGGGGAGCAAACA
rnacentral:rRNA from 1 species